rnacentral:misc_RNA from 1 species
GUAGGUGAACCUGCGGAAGGAUCACUAAAGAGAACUUGCCCUUCGGGGUAGAUCUCCCACCCUUUGUUUAUCACACUUUGUUGCUUUGGCGGGCCUGCCUCACGGCUGCCGGCGUAAGCUGGCUCGCGCCCGCCAGAGACCCCUAAACUCUGAAUAUUGUCGUCUGAGUAAUAUAUAAUAAGUUAAAACUUUCAACAACGGAUCUCUUGGCUCUC